rnacentral:lncRNA from 1 species
GCGGCCAACAUUUACUUGGAUAGAUAUGAAAGAUUUAUACUCUCAUGACUUACAAACUUCCAAACAUCUACCAUGUUAGAACUGAAAGAUUUAUAGACUCUUCAUGACUUACACGCGGCAUUAUAUUACUUUUAACAACUUUCGUCCAACUAUUAUUUAGGUAACAAUUUGAAAACUUUGAACGUAAUUAAUUAAAGUAUUUAGAUUUAGCAAAUUAACUCUUCUUAAAUUUACUCUUACCCAUUUAUUACAUGCUCUCUGUGUGUGUGCAUGUAUUUAUGUUUACAUAUGGUUUUUUUUUUUUUGUCACAAUGUUUACAUAUGGUUAUUCCAUAAGAAAGAAAGACGAAGCAAGUGAUACCAACGCCACAAAAACAUCUCAAACUCGGCAAGCUAAAACAGGUGAAGUUUUAUUUUGCUCUCCUUAUUUUAAAUAUUACCGUGUUUUAAUAUUAUUAUAUAUACUU